AGCAUGAUUCCAUCAAUUCUAUCUUUUGGAGCAGUAGAUGUGGUGGAUGAUGAAGAUGAAAUGGUCCGAAUAAUGGAAUGGUUCAAGCUUGAGUCUGAUUUCGGAUAACACUUACUAAGUCGGACUGGCGACUUUAAAACUAGCGCUUGGUGGGAGGCAACCCACUGUUGGUUUAGUUCUUGUUUUUGUUUUUCUUUUUUUUGUUUUCCGUUUUUGUUCCGUUUCCAAGUCUUUGGUUGCUUGUUCGGUUGCUAUGACUCUUGGUGUUAAUCUUUUUGUUUCCAGCGCUGGAAUUCCCCUCUGACAUUGCUGCCAGCGCUGCAAUUCUACUAUGACCUUGCCGCCAGCGCUGAAGAAUGCUAGCGCUACGCAGUCCAGCGCUGCCGUUUCUACUCUGCAAAAGGCCGCAAACCUCAUUUUUCACCGCCUCUCACAAUGCUUCAGCUUUUCAAUGCCGAUAAUCAGGGAUGUUUUCUAAACUCUUUUUCUUUUGUGCCUUGAGGACAUGGCAUGCUUUAAGUGUGGGGGGGAGGUGUUUUGUUGUGCUUAUGCUUUCAUUUGGGCGAGAUUAGUCUUUCUAUGCUUAGUUUUUUUCUUUGAUUCUU
rnacentral:lncRNA from 1 species